GUCUAGCCCAUUUGUUUUCACUCCAGAAAACCUUUCAACUUUUCUACUUAGCUUUUUACUCUUUUUCUCAUGCAUCCAAAACAGUUCCAACUCUCUCUUCUUUCUCUGAAACAGCAACUGAGCUAGGGACCUUGCAAAAUCUUUCUUCGAGCUAAAGGGACAUUUUUUCCUCCAUCUUCUUAAGCUGCAGUUGUACUGUGGUACUCUUCAGCUAGGCUUUCCCUCUCCUCGCAAGUCCGCUCCUAGUUUCGAGAUGCGAAAACUCUUGAUAAUCAUGCAGAUGGUGGGGAUGCGAUUGUUUAGUUUAUGCAGAUUUGUUAUUGAUCUUUUAAACAUCUUCUAAUAAACUAUGUUAUUUGUAAUUCUUUGCUC